ACAUAGUCUUGAACAAGGCUAAAUAACUGGACAUACAAGAUGGAUUUCUCAUGUCUAGCAGCUACUGUUGUUCUGUAGGAUCAUGUCUCUGUAUAUCAUCAAGCUGGUAAGUGCUAUUGGGGCUCGGGUAUGUUUUUGUAUGACUAGGACUUCAAGCCACAAACACUGAUGAAUUACAUCAAUUCUACAAUGAGCCGGUGAACAAAAUCUCGGCCAGAUUGAUAACUACUGGAAGAGUUUGACUGUGGGUAUUGUUGCUGUGAUCGUGGUGAUAUAAACAGGUUUUGAGCCUAAGAGACAAUUACUUAUUUUCUCAGUAAUGUUCCAUUUAAUGUAUAAAAUAUCACAAGGUAUAAUACGUUCCCCACAUAGAUUGUUUCCCCCCCCCCCCACGUUUAAGAUAGGCAACUUGGACAACAGGAUAGCAAAUGCACAUCAGCUGCUCACGCAAGAUGUUGAGAGGUUUUGUAACAGCGUGGUGAACCAGUAUUCAAACUUAAGCAAGCUAUUUUUGGAUAUCGUUCUGUAUAUUGUCAAGCUGACAAAUGCUCAGGGACCAGCCAGCAUGAUGGCUUACCUACUCGUAGCUGACCUUUUCCUUACACACCUUAGAAGGGGGGGGGGGUUUGAGCAAAUCGUGUAACAUAGAAAUGCGCUUGAUGAAGGCAUGCACUAAGUAUGCAAUAAAUUGAAUGUGUGUAAAUCCUU